AAUGCCCCUUGAGGCGUUGCAGCUCAGCUGUGUGUUGACGCUGCGUCAUGAGGGGGCAGAGAGCAUCAGGCGGGGGUCUGCACCGACGCUCUACAACUCGGAGGAGUCGACUCGACUCGUCGCCUACACU